rnacentral:rRNA from 1 species
AGUGAACGCUGGCGGUAGGCCUAACACAUGCAAGUCGAACGGCAGCACAGUAAGAGCUUGCUCUUACGGGUGGCGAGUGGCGGACGGGCGAGGAAUACAUCGGAAUCUACUUUUUCGUGGGGGAUAACGUAGGGAAACUUACGCUAAUACCGCAUACGACCUACGGGUGAAAGCAGGGGAUCUUCGGACCUUGCGCGAUUGAAUGAGCCGAUGUCGGAUUAGCUAGUUGGCGGGGUAAAGGCCCACCAAGGCGACGAUCCGUAGCUGGUCUGAGAGGAUGAUCAGCCACACUGGAACUGAGACACGGUCCAGACUCCUACGGGAGGCAGCAGUGGGGAAUAGUGGACAAUGGGCGCAAGCCUGAUCCAGCCAUACCGCGUGGGUGAAGAAGGCCUUCGGGUUGUAAAGCCCUUUUGUUGGGAAAGAAAAGCAGCAGGUUAAUACCCCGCUGUUCUGACGGUACCCAAAGAAUAAGCACCGGCUAACUUCGUG